rnacentral:rRNA from 1 species
UACGUAGGGGGCAAGCGUUGUCCGGAUUUAUUGGGCGUAAAGAGCUCGUAGGUGGUUUGUCGCGUUGUUCGUGAAAACUCACAGCUCAACUGUGGGCGUGCGGGCGAUACGGGCAGACUUGAGUACUGCAGGGGAGACUGGAAUUCCUGGUGUAGCGGUGGAAUGCGCAGAUAUCAGGAGGAACACCGGUGGCGAAGGCGGGUCUCUGGGCAACUACUGACGCUGAGGAGCGAAAGCGUGGGGAGCGAACAGG